UGGGGAAUUUUGCACAAUGGGCGAAAGCCUGAUGCAGCGACGCCGCGUGGAGGAAGAAUGCCUUCGGGUUGUAAACUCCUUUUGCCGGGGAAGAUAAUGACGGUACCCUGCGAAUAAGCCACGGCUAACUCAGUGCCAGCAGCCGCGGUAAUGAAAU
rnacentral:rRNA from 1 species